UCGGUUUAGCAUAUAUGUAGUGUAUGGGAUUGUAGCUCCCGGGGAAGAUGAAUUUCUGGCCGGAG
rnacentral:tRNA from 1 species